rnacentral:lncRNA from 1 species
GUAAGCCUGAUACAUUGUUGAGUAAAUGCUCUCUUGGGUGAUCUUUGAUCAAUGAUAGGAAAAACAAAGGAGUUGGCUCAUAAAUUGGUUGCCUUUUCUUCCCCACAUAGACUGUUUUGAGAUGCAGGAAAUCCAUUCACGUUACCUGAAGAUAUCCAGCAUGAUUGAAACCAGCUAUGUUUUCUUGUGACCCUAAGUUCCGCCCUUAUUAUCCAAAAUCUGAUUCAAGACCUCCAAGUAAAGGAAAGAAUGUGAAAAUAAGUAAAAAGAAAAAAAUGACCAGACAUCUGGAGCUCCUCCUGCCACUGCUGAAUCCAUGACAGUGAAAUUCUUGUUCACUACGGUAAUCACAGAGAACGACUAUGCCAUGCCACUUCCAGAUUGCCUCACUUUCGCUAAAAGCCAGCAGGCGGCCCAGUGUUUCGUUGGUUCGAAUCCUGGGCGCGGACAUGACACUGCUCAUCAAACCACGCUGAGGCAGCGUCCCACAUGCCACAACUAGAAGGACCCACAACAAAGAAUAUACAACUAUUUACCGGGGGGCUUUGGGGAG